UGAGUUGUAGACUAAUAGGCAAGUCACCUAGAUUUGAGUUAGGUUAUAUAUAUGUUCGAAUCAUAUCAACUCAA
rnacentral:tRNA from 1 species